rnacentral:rRNA from 1 species
GACGAACGCUGGCGGCGUGCUUAACACAUGCAAGUCGAGCGAUGAAACACCUUCGGGUGCGGAUUAGCGGCGAACGGGUGAGGAACACGUGAGGAAUCUGCCUUCCACUCUGGGAUAACUCCGGGAAACCGGGGCUAAUACCGGAUACUUUCAACUGGCGGCAUCGCCGGUUGAAGAAAGUUUUUCGGUCAAGGAUGGACUCGCGGCCUAUCAGCUAGUUGGUGAGGUAACGGCUCACCAAGGCGACGACGGGUAGCCGGCCUGAGAGGGUGACCGGCCACACUGGGACUGAGACACGGCCCAGACUCCUACGGGAGGCAGCAGUGGGGAAUAUUGCACAAUGGGCGCAAGCCUGAUGCAGCAACGCCGCGUGAGGGAUGACGGCCUUCGGGUUGUAAACCUCUUUUAGUAGGGAAGAAGCGAAAGUGACGGUACCUGCAGAAAAAGCACCGGCUAACUACGUGCCAGCCGCCGCGGUAA